AAAAGAGCUUGCCGUUACCAUAGCGUAAUGAUACUUGCUGACUGACUGCAACUUAGCUAGCGUCAAGUUAGCUAACAUUAUUAGGCCUGCUACUUAGCUAGCAACCAUUUGCUAGUCUGUUACUGAAGAAGUUUGCUUAACGUUACAUAUGCUAACGUUAGCUAGUGCUAAACGACGAUAGCGUUUUCAAACCAAUAACCUAGCUAACGUUAAAUAAACCGAACUUAUAACAAAGCUAAUGUUCCUCAGACACUUUGUCCAGCUAAUAGAAGUUAUUAUUUGACAAUGACAUGUUUUUCUCGUUUGAUCAGCUAGCUAGCAGGCAGUUGCUAGCCUAGAGACCUGUCAUCCCCGGUACUCGAGUCUCAUAGUUAGCGUCCGAGUGCUCACAGACUCGGAAAAUACUUACAGGAAAGGCUCGUAUCCUCAUCUUGGUGUCCUUCUUGGUGCCGCCUUUGAGGUUGGACAUGAUUAGUUAGAACGACUUUCGUUUCUAAGUUGACUUAAAGACUACAUGAAAGGCAGUUGCUAGUUUGUUUUCUACGCCAGGAAAGCGGCAGGGAAACUCAGCGACCUCCCCUUCAGGAAUUAGUGAUGGCGGACGGCUGUACUCCACUGCGCAACGCCGAAAUCUCGCGAGAGUGAAGACACUAUACUGACAGGUGCAUUCCACAGUUUUCCAGUCCACGUAUCACUUUUUAAAUUGUCCAACUGCAAAUUCCGAUGAUAGACCAACGGCUGGAAGAUGGAAUAUCUUCUCACUGUCAUGACGACGCUCUCUGAAUGGGAGAGAGAGAGAAAUAUCACAGGAAACAGGUCCUUAGUGCAGCUAGGAAUGCUGUAGUGCCACUUGCAGACCGCAGUGUCCAGGGAGCCCUAAAAAGGGAAGGAGUCUCACUCUGGUUCCUGGCAGCUUGUGGAGCAGUGGAGGCUAAAUUAGGCCUGGAUUCAUUGACUUCCAAUCCCCAGAGU